ACAGUGCGGUAAAGCCAAGGGAGAUUAUCCAGACCCCCAGGAGCGAACAGCAAGCAGCAACCGAAGGCGCAAGUGCCAGGAUUACAGCCUAGGCUGCUCCAACUAUGAGCCCUUCCUCGGACCCAGGGACUCGGCUACUUGGGGUUUGGGGGUCUUCCACACCAAAGAGGCACAAAGCUGACUUUAAUCACUUUCUUCCUUUAAACUUGAUUCUGCCGCAGUGGAGCCAGCACAGCGGAUGCUUUCACACCCAGCAAGACAAAGGCCGUCGUCUCCGCCAUGACACUGUUCCGUUCCAAGCAGAGGCCGGGAUCUUGGACUCCUUGAAAAAUCAAAAGGAAACAAGGAAAACAAACAACAAAUACAGCAACAAACAGAAAAAAUUAACAACCACCAAAAUCGUGUGCCCAUUUGCCCAUGCCAGGGGUGAUCUGGGCAUCUGUUGCAGCAGAAGGCGCUUGUGUCGGGCUGUUUUUUUCUUUUUGGGCAAGCUGUUGGUUUGUUUGCUAUUCAACUUCGUUUAUAAUUAACUUAAAAAAACCCCCACCAUUCAGCCUAGUCAACAACAAACAAAGAGAAAAAGCAGACAUCGGAAGAGAAAUGCCAUAGGAAGCGGCGUGAAUGCAUGCCACAGCCGGUGCCACUUGCCAUUCGGAAAACCUCAGGGAAAGAUGCCAAUUCUACAGCUCGGAAGAAGGCAGAGAAGGGAGCAUAAAGGUCUACAAAGAGAAAUCAUAAGGAAAGAAUACGGCUUGUACAAUCCUGGAUUGCAAUUGCACACAGCUUCUGCUGGGAGAAGAGAGGGGAUAUUUAAAUGGAGAUAUAGAUGGGUAUAAAUUAAAAGAUAGGCACCUAUCGAUUGCAUAUAGACACAGUUGUAAGGCUGUAUGUGUAUGUAAAUGCACAUUAUUUUCAGACAAAUUAAACAUUUAGAUAUGUAUAUAUUUUUGUUAUAGGUAUGGGUGUGUAUAUAGGUAUGUAUGUUUAUGCAUAUAUACACAUAUGUGGGAUGUAUGCAUGUGUGAGAAAAAAGGAGAGGACAGAGAAGGAGAGAGAAGGAAACGUGUGUAUGUGCAUGUAUGUGUGUGCAUACAAUCCCACUUUUUGACCCAGGUAUACACAGAAGACAAAAUAAAAAUCAUACUCGAGCAGCAAGCAGGCAGUCAGAGAUUUAUCUACAUUCACUGCUAUCACCAGGGAGAUGAAUGGGGCCGAUCUGAAGCCCUUUUACAAGAUCCACUAUGGGAGUGAAGGAGGAGGAGGGAUGCCACACAGACAUGCACAAACUUGAAGGCAGAGGGAUUUGGAAGGUGCUACUUAGGAAACCCUGGUGGCAUAACGCAGGGGAGAAGAAGGGGAAAGAAGGGGAAAGAGGCUUGUUUUUCUCUAUGUUUUAGGUGGUCGUUUAAAAAAAAAAUCUGAGAAAGGGUUUCAGGAAACAGCUGGUACUUACGUUGUCUGCGUUGCUGUGGAUCCUGAAAGGUGUUCUGUUGGCACCAGGCGCUGAGCCAGGGGCAGGCGCUGGAAACAAAAGGGAGAGACAAAAAAAAAAAAAAAUAAAUAAAUAAAGUCAUUCUAUGGGAAUAUUAAUUGCUGCUCUUGUGGAUUUUACAAAACACACAAACUGUUUUCUUUUUCUUUCUUUCUUUUUUUAAAUGUGGAUUGGCGCGUGUCCCUUUCGCAUGGAAUAUACAAGUAGUAUGGGAUUUACAGCCCAGUACGGGACUCAGGAUUAACCGCGCUGGCAUCUUUUGGGCAUAUUCUUCCUUUUAAUGAAUGAGCUUUCGCUGUUAAUGAGGAAUAAUCGUUUGGCUAAUGAGCUUUGAAACAUUAAGAGAAAAGAGGUUUUUUUCCGUUAAUCGCUCUGGUGCGACUGCAUGGAUGGAUUACAAAAGACAGCAAUAGGAAUGCAGUACAAAGGGGGGGACCUCUCCUGGAGUGGGAGAAGCACCGAGAUGGGUGAUGUGUCCCUGCGUCUUUCCUUCCUUCUUGUUCUUUCACUCUGCCAACUGCUAUGGGUUUCCAUAACUCCGCAAUCAAAGUGGAUGGUCGGGAAGGAUUAUUACAAAGAGUGAAGCCUCCGCUGUUAAUGUCUCCAGUGUUUAAUCAUCAUACAGUAGAAUGGUUUUAUGCAUAUUUCAUUUGCAUAUCAUUAAACCGUGUUAGCAAGGGGCAUUCAGAGCCAGGAGAAGUACAAAGUUGGGGAGAGAGGGAAGAAAAAAAGGUCCCUAUGAUGCUUAUCUUCAAACAGGGACUUGUUCCAUGAUCUGUCUUCUACUUUUGCUAAAAUCAUUAUGACUUGGAAGCCUUUGAAGUUGGAUACAACCUUGGAUUCUUCUAAUUCCUGCAGAGCGGUAUAUUUUUAAAAACAGCAGAAAUGUUCCUGCACUAGACAAUUAAAGGAAUAUAAACUCCAGUGGGUUGAAACUAGUAGCUCUUUGGGGAAUGCAGUGGCAGAGGCUUCUACAAAUACCAACAGUUAAAAAAAAAACAAUAAAGAGCAUCAUAUUAAAACAAAAGACAACGAAGACAAGAAAUAUUAACAUGUGGAUUAUAUUUGUUUCUUUUGGGGGGUAAUGAACUAAAGAGAAUGAAGAAGCCAUCGGUAAUUUAUCCCUUCCUUAAUGAACAGUCACCUUUUUGUAUGUGUUUGUUUUUGUUCUUUCUUUUAAGGGGGAUGUUGUCACUUUUGAAGCAAUUAGUCAAUUAUUUUGUAGCUCUGAUCUUUUUCUCCUGCACCCGACAGGAAAGAAAGGUGGUGGUUAGGGAAUAUAUGUGUAUUGGGGGGAUUUGUGGGGAGAGAGGAAUACAGUGAGUUCUUUGUAGAUCUAAUACAUGCACAACAUAUUAAUUGGGAGCUUUUAAAGCUUGCUCAAUAGGCUGUUUCAUUCCUGGUAAAACAGCAGCUGGUUAGCCACUGUUGGUGACUCUUCAAAUAUCACUUUAAGUAUUUUUAUUCUGUCACUGUUGUUGUUGUGUUGUUUUGUUUUUCCAUGGUCAAGAAUGAGAAUAUCAUGUCAUCUCUUCUUUAUCAAGUCUCUUCUCUCCUCCAUCAUCUUCUUCACUUCCAAUUUCCAAACUGUAAAACAAUGUUGGUUUAAUAUUGAAUCCUGGUGCACAGUUUAACUGGCACAACUUGAUUUGGAAAUGAGAUGCUGUUUUAUAUUUAAAUUACCCCACUCCUCCCUUAUCCUCCAAAGCUUUGUCUCUGCUAUGAAUAUUCAGAUGAGGCAUGAUGUGAUUACACUGUACAAUU
rnacentral:lncRNA from 1 species